rnacentral:rRNA from 1 species
UUAAAACCCAAAGGACUUGGCGGUGCUUUAGACCCACCUAGAGGAGCCUGUUCUAGAACCGAUAACCCCCGUUAAACCUCACCCUCCCUUGUUUUUCCCGCCUAUAUACCGCCGUCCUCAGCUUACCCUGUGAAGGCCCCAUAGUAAGCAGAGUCAGUAAAGCUCAAAACGCCAGGUCGAGGUGUAGCAUAUGAGAGGGGAAGAAAUGGGCUACAUUCCCUACUCCAGGGUAUACGGAUACUGUAAUGAAACGUACAUUAGAAGGAGGAUUUAGCAGUAAGCAAAAAAUAGAGUGUUUUGCUGAAACUGGCCCUGAAGCGCGCACACACCG